AACUUAUAUUGCUUCCACCGCCUCAAUUAACCUCAACCUGACAUUCUCUCUUUUCGCAUGCCAUAUCUCUCCGCCACAUACUGCUUCAUUUUUCACCCAAAUCUAAAGAAAACAAGUUUGAUACAGGUCGAUAAGUUUGUUGCCUCCUCCCAUAAGAUGCUUCACAUUGCCUUGCCUUUACCUUCAUUCACCUCAUUCUCUUAACCAACUGGAAGCAACCACCGCCACAAAAGACUUUACGGUGGGUUUUGCGUCUAGCUUUUCCACCAGCUGUUUCUAGCUUUUCCACCUAUCCUCAUGGAACAAGAUACCACCUCCUGCUUAGUUUGGAACGCUAAUGGUGUAUUAUUAUUUCUACUCCUUCCAGCUGACCGACACGGUUUUUCACCAACCUCCUAAACCAUCGCCUUUUCCUUCUUUUAUGAUCGCAUCGAUACUUUCUUUCUUUUAUUUGAAACACCCAUCUUUCUUAUACUUCAUGCCUCCUCCAUGGCUCCUGACUUUCCAAAUUUUCAAUCCGUGCCUCCCAACCAUUGGAACAAUAAUUGAUGCCCUUCCUCCGGAAAAUUGACGUCCUUUGCUGAAAUGGUGUAAUAUCACUUGAUCGGAUUUAAAAUCGACAUCUCCCUUUUGAUGGUAUUGUUAUCUUCUUAAUUUGAGUGGUUCGAUUAGACGAGAAAGGGACUCCCCCUUUUCAUCUCAUGAACUAACUUGUCGCUUGUCAGGAUGUAGGUAAUUUUUAUAUCACAAUCUCCAAAAAGCCCUAAUUUGUUUUUUUUCGUUGCCAUACGUAUUGCUUCCUUCAUUUUGGGUCUAUUCAGUGUUUGUACUUCCCCCUCUUCACGCUACCGUCUUAUGAUAUUAAUUAAUCGGUUAUGUUGAGUCAAGAAACUGUGACUACUAUUCCGUGUUCAUCUUUUGCAAGCAAUUCGUUUCUUCUACCCAAUUCAGGUCUUUGGCUUUCAAUUUUGGUUGCUGAUUAACAUGUCUGCCAAAUAGGUAGUUAUCUUAGACCUAACUUACUUUGAUCGCUAUGGGUUAAGGUACCUCUCUGUUUCUUCAUUAACUUUCCAUUUUGGUAGGACUUGUUGAUAUUUUUAAUUGGGGAAAACAAAAUAUUACAACAGUAAAAGGUAAGGAAAUCUCUAUGUUUGUUCUUCAAUUUUGGUUUAUGCCGCAUGGUAGGGAGUCUAAAUGGUUUUCGUGUUUCUGCUUCUUGGGUAUUUUUCUAUUAUUUGUUUGCUUCACUUUCUAGCGGUGUGUGUAUAAAAAAAUUAUACAUUUGAAUUACUGUUACCCAAUUUAUAAGGUUGUAGUUUGGAGGAGUUGAGAUUGUGCAACAUCAAAAUUUUAGAACUGUAUGGCCGAAGAUAUGCAAGUGUACAUACUAGAUCUUAUAUUGUUAGCCUUUAGAAGGUAAUCAUGAAAGGAGAGGAUUUGCAUUUGUUAAAACUAAAAUUAAUGGUCUUCUCUUUAUUGUGAAGAUUCUUAAAGGUUUAUAUAAUAAUCUAAUGGUAAUUAUUGAUUAGGUAAUAGAUGAAUAUUAAAGGAAGCAUGGUUAUUCAUGGAAGAACAUGCAACAAGAUAUCACUGAUCAACGAUUUAUCUUAAUGAUGCUUUAAACAUGUUUCAUGUGCUUAUUAACGGUUAUCAUUUGCAUUGUACUUAUCAAUCUAGCAAUUUUCUUUCAUUUUUACUUCUAGAAUGAAUGUAAGUCGCUAGAUGGAUAAUUCAUAAAAAUUGUUGAAUAUAUCAGUUUAGAUGCUUUGCUUUCUGAAAUACAUCCAUUGUACCUAUUUUUUUAUAGUUCUUUUUUUUUAAAUCAUUGAUCCCUCAACUAUAAAAGAUUUUGAUUCUUCUCAUUUACAUAUAUAUUUUUUAAUGUCUGGUUUACUUCAUAAGUUUCUUAUUCCGAAGUAAUUUUAUUGAUAAAGUUAAUUACAAUAUCAUCAAUCUUUAAAGAGAAGUGGCUUGUUUUUAUUUCUUUAUGGUUGCAAUUUAAAUAAUUUAUUUUAUUUUAUUUUUUUGUAAGUUGUUUGACUUCAACAUGUGUUUAUAUAUUCUUUUUCCUUAAUGAUUACAAUCUGAUUCUUUUUCUUUGGUAGUUGGUAUCCCAUUUUUCAAUCUAACAUGAGAAAGCCAAAAAUUGCCGCCAUGAAGAAGAAAUCAAAUCCGUUGGACUCUCUAGCCCUCACCCAUUCCAACUCCCGAAAUGUCUAUGCCCCAGUUAAAUCAAUUGAAGAAAACACAUUCAAUUCUUCAAUAAAUAUGCUUCCACAACAACAAGAUUCCAAUCAAUUGAAGAAAACACAUUCAAUUCUUCAAUAAAUAUGCUUCCACAACAACAAGAUUCCAAAAUGACAAAACAAGUAUUUGGGUUUGAGGAAUUUUGAUCUUUUCAAAAGGCCUAGAUGUGGGGACAUUGGUACGGUUUAUUUAGCAGAAUUAGUGGGGACAAAUUGUCUUUUUGCUAUUAAGUUUAUGGUUAAUGAGUUUUCAGAAAGAAGAAAGAAAAUGCCUAGGGCACAUACAAAAAGAUAAAUUUGGAUCCAUCCUUUUUUACCCACUUUAUAUGCGCAUUUUGUAUCCGAGAAUUUAUUGUGUUUGGUUAUGGAGUAUUGACCAAGUGGAGAUCUUCAUGUUCUCGGACAAAAAUAAUAGGAUCGAUAUUAUACUGAUCAAGCACCAAGAUUCUAUGUUGCAGAAGUCCUCAUAUUAGAAUAUCUACACAUGCUUGGAAUCGUAUACCAGGAUCUAAAACCUAAAAACAUUUUAUUCAGAGAAGACGGUCACGUCAUGCUAAAUUAUUUAGACCUCUAUCUUCGUUGCACCAUGAAAAUGGGAUGCCACCCGAUGUCUUUGAUAACUCGCUAUGGAGAUUAAUGUAUCCAUCUAAUCUCAUUUCUUUAUUUACUUCUUCCAUUUCAUUCUGAUUUUCUUAUGUUAUUUAUCGCUCUUGUUUUCAAUAUAGAGAUGCAUAUAAAUUGACUUUUAAAAUCCAAAGAUAUAGAAGCAAUGCAAAAUUAUCAAAAUCAGACAAAUAUGGUAUUAAUAUUUAAAGGUGGCUUAAAAUAAGUUUAGUUAAUUUGUUACAACUAAGAAAUAGUAGCCCUAAUUGCAAACUAUCUAACCAAAUUACUAAAGUAAGUACAAACAUUGUUUUUUUCUUUAUUAAAGUUUUCUUCUGCAUAACAGAUAACAGAUUUUAUCAAGAGGAUAAUGUCUUAGUGUAUUUUUUUUUGCAAUGGGCUACUUCUUAUUGAAUGAUGAAAUUAAUUUCCUUACACUAUACUAUUUAACUCACCUUUUCUCUUCAUCUUGAUCCAACAUAGCUUCGAAAUCGGUUCGUUUUUCCCUAAAAUCACAUAAAACUAGCUUAUGGACCAAUUCUUUAGGGUCGUGAUUAUCACGACCCUAAUAAGUUUCCUAGAAUAUAUAUAUAUAUAUAGGUUCGUAUGUUUCUUAUAUUUAUUGUGUGGAAGAAUGUGCCAAUAGGAAUUUAUUAAAAUUAAAUAAUUAUUUAAUUAAAUAAAGAUAGAUAUUAAAUGAUUUUCAUAAU